GUGCUUGCUUCGGCAGCACAUAUAUUAAAAUCGGAACAAUACAGAGAAGAUUAACAUGGCCCUUGUGCAAAGAUACACAAAUUCAUGAAGCAUUCCAUAUUUUG